rnacentral:rRNA from 1 species
UACGGAGGGUGCAAGCGUUAUCCGGAUUUACUGGGUUUAAAGGGUGCGUAGGCGGGCUUUUAAGUCAGUGGUGAAAACUCCGAGCUUAACUCGGAAACUGCCAUUGAUACUAUUGUCUUGAAUUUAGUUGAGGUUGGCGGAAUGUGUCGUGUAGCGGUGAAAUGCUUAGAUAUGACACAGAACACCGAUUGCGAAGGCAGCUGGCUAAACUAAAAUUGACGCUGAGGCACGAAAGUGUGGGGAUCAAACAGG